AGAGUUUGAUCAUGGCUCAGAACGAACGUUGGCGGCGUGGAUUAGGCAUGCAAGUCGAACGAGAAAGGUUCCUUCGGGAGCCGAGUACAGUGGCGAAAGGGUGAGUAAUGCAUAGAUAACCUGCCCUCGAGAUGGGAAUAACCUCGGGAAACUGGGGCUAAUACCCAAUGAGACCACGUGCCGCAAGGCAAGUGGCCAAAGAUAGCCUUCGGGCCUUCGCUUGAGGAGGGGUCUAUGUCCUAUUAGCUUGUUGGUGGGGUAACGGCCUACCAAGGCAUCGAUGGGUAGCCGACCUGAGAGGGUGGCCGGCCACGCUGGGACUGAGACACUGCCCAGACUCCUACGGGAGGCUGCAGUCGAGAAUCUUCCGCAAUGCGCGAAAGCGUGACGGAGCGACGCCGCGUGGAGGACGAAGGCCUUCGGGUUGUAAACUCCUGUCACUAGGGAAGAAAGGUAGGUAGUUAAUAGCUGUCCUGCUUGACGUUACCAGGAGAGGAAGCACCGGCUAAAUACGUGCCAGCAGCCGCGGUAAUACGUAUGGUGCGAACGUUGUUCGGAAUCACUGGGCUUAAAGAGCACGUAGGCUGUUGAGAAAGUCUGAUGUGAAAUCCCUCAGCUCAACUGAGGAACUGCAUUAGAAACUUCUCGGCUAGAGUGCAGGAGGGGAGAGUGGAAUUCCUGGUGGAGCGGUGAAAUGCGUAGAUAUCAGGAGGAACGCCGGUGGCGAAAGCGACUCUCUGGCCUGCUACUGACGCUGAGGUGCGAAAGCUAGGGGAGCGAACGGGAUUAGAUACCCCGGUAGUCCUAGCC
rnacentral:rRNA from 1 species